GAUGAACGCUGGCGGCGUGCCUAAUACAUGCAAGUCGAGCGAACAGACGAGGAGCUUGCUCCUCUGACGUUAGCGGCGGACGGGUGAGUAACACGUGGAUAACCUACCUAUAAGACUGGGAUAACUUCGGGAAACCGGAGCUAAUACCGGAUAACAUGUUGAACCGCAUGGUUCAACAGUGAAAGACGGUCUUGCUGUCACUUAUAGAUGGAUCCGCGCCGCAUUAGCUAGUUGUUAAGGUAACGGCUUACCAAGGCAACGAUGCGUAGCCGACCUGAGAGGGUGGUAGGCCACACUGGAACUGAGACACGGUCCAGACUCCUACGGGAGGCAGCAGUAGGGAAUCUUCCGCAAUGGGCGAAAGCCUGACGGAGCAAAGCCGCGUGAGUGAAGAAGGUCUUCGGAUCGUAAAACUCUGUUAUUAGGGAAGAACAAAUGUGUAAGUAACUAUGCACGUCUUGACGGUACCUAAUCAGAAAGCCACGGCUAACUACGUG
rnacentral:rRNA from 1 species